rnacentral:rRNA from 1 species
UACGUAGGAUCCUAGCGUUGUCCGGAUUUACUGGGCGUAAAGGGUGCGCAGGCGGACUUAUAAGUCAGUGGUGAAAUCUCGGCGCUUAACGCCGAAACUGCCUUUGAUACUAUAAGUCUUGAGUUUGGUAGAGAUCCGUGGAAUUCCGAGUGUAGCAGUGAAAUGUGUAGAUAUUCGGAAGAACACCAGCGGCGAAGGCAGCGGAUUGGGCCAAUACUGACGCUCAGGCACGAAAGCAUGGGGAUCAAACAGG